rnacentral:rRNA from 1 species
UGGGGAAUAUUGGACAAUGGGCGAAAGCCUGAUCCAGCCAUGCCGCGUGUGUGAAGAAGAUCUUCGGAUUGUAAAGCACUUUAAGUUGGGAGGAAGGGCAGUAAGCGAAUACCUUGCUGUUUUGACGUUACCGACAGAAUAAGCACCGGCUAACUCUGUGCCAGCAGCCGCGGUAAUACAGAGGGUGCAAGCGUUAAUCGGAAUUACUGGGCGUAAAGCGCGCGUAGGUGGUUCGUUAAGUUGAAUGUGAGAGCCCCGGGCUCAACCUGGGAACGGCAGCCAAAACUGGCGAGCUAGAGUAGGGCAGAGGGUGGUGGAAGUUCCUGUGUAGCGGUGAGAUGCGUAGAUAUAGGAAGGAACACCAGUGGCGAAGGCGACCACCUGGGCUCAUACUAACACUGAGGUGAGAAGGCGUGGGGAGCAAACAGG